GCCGAUGUGGCGAAAUUGGUAGACGCGCAUGGUUCAGGUCCAUGUUCCUGCAAGGGAGUGGGGGUUCGAGUCCCUCCAUCGGCACCA
rnacentral:tRNA from 1 species